rnacentral:rRNA from 1 species
UACGUAGGGUGCGAGCGUUAAUCGGAAUUACUGGGCGUAAAGCGUGCGCAGGCGGGCUUUUAAGCCAGACGUGAAAUCCCCGGGCUUAACCUGGGAAUGGCGUUUUGGGACUGGGAGUCUGGAGUGCGGCAGAGGAGACUGGAAUUCCUGGUGUAGCAGUGAAAUGCGUAGAUAUGUGGAGGAACACCGAUGGCGAAGGCAGCCCCCCUGGGGUCAAAAACUGA